rnacentral:rRNA from 1 species
AUUGAACGCUGGCGGCAGGCCUAACACAUGCAAGUCGAACGAGUGGCGGACGGGUGAGGUAUUUCUGGGAAACUGCCCGAUGGAGGGGGAUUACUACUGGAAAAGGUUGCUAAUUCCGCCUUCUUUCGGAUGUGCCCAGAUGGUAUUAGCCAGUAGGGGGGGUAACGGCUCACCUAGGCGACGAUCCCUAGCUGGUCUGAGAGGAUGACCAGCCACACUGGGACUGAGACACGGUCCAGACUCCUACGGGAGGCAGCAGUGGGGAAUAUUGCACAAUGGGCGCAAGCCUGAUGCAGCCAUGCCGCGUGUAUGAAGAAGGCCUUCGGGUUGUAAAGUACUUUCAGCGGGGAGGCGUUACCCGCAGAAGAAGCACCGGCUAACUACGUGCCAGCAGCCGCGGUAAUUC